rnacentral:lncRNA from 1 species
UUUUUCUCUCUCUUUUCUUUUGGUUAAGUCAAUAUCACUAAUGUACCUUCCAUAUUUAGCUUUUUACCUAUAGGUCAUUCUUGUCUUGCUUCAAUUAUAACACAAGAUGUCAUCCUAUAUUUCCAACUUGGAUGAUGACAGUAUUAAGAACUACAACAGCUUCUCAAGCACCCAAGCUCUCUCUCCCAUCCUUAACUGCUUCCAGAGCACACCUUAACCCUUUCCCAGCAUAAAGAAAAGAACAAGAUAUCCAAGAGAAAGAAUAAGCAAUGAGAUGAAAUGUUGUCUUUGCCAUAAUUGGCACACCCUGCCAUCUCCACAAACCCUAGCUUAAACAUUUUAUCUUAAGUCAGAAAUAUAUACAUAUGUUUCAUAGGGCUAUGGCGUAUUUAAAACAAUUCCCCCCCCCCCCCCCCCUCCUAAUAUUGCACAAAACCACCAUAUCAAAAUUAAAAAGUUUAUUUGCACUCACUACCCUCCACGACGUAUUGCAGGGUUUAGGAGUUCAAUUCAGAAAGGUUUUUUCUUCCCUGGAGAUUCUUUUCUAUCCAACAAAUCAUUCAAUUUGGCUAGUUAUGAAUUGUUUCUUCUAUACCCCAGAGAAAUCUAUUCAAAGAAGGACUGUCCUAGAAUUUCAUAUUUAAUCCAAAAUUAUUGCUUCUUCAAAGUUCAAACCAAAUACCUCUUCUAUUUGCCUAGAAUCACAACUUCAAGUAAUCAAAAGCCAUAACAGAUUUUUAGCAUGGUUGGAAUACCUUUGGAAGGAUAUGAUCAAACAUGUCACCUUGUGCAGAUAGAGAAUUGAGGCUGCUACAUCCGCUUCACAUACUCAGGAUGCAAGUAAUAUCUUUCUUUAUAUUGCCAUAUCCCAAGCUCUUGGAUCAGUGAUUCUGCGGAUGUCAAACCAAAUGACUGAGACAUCGGGUAACAUCACAUUAUGAAACAAAUUUAGUUUAGAAAAGGUCCCAGUGAAUUGUUUCUAAACCCCAGAAAAAUCUAUUCAGAGAGGAACUGUUCUAGAAUUUCAUACUUAAUCAAAUAUUACUACUUCUUCAACCAAAUACCAGUCCUAUUUGCCUAGAAUCGCAACUCAAGUAAUCGUAAGCCAUGAUAGAUUAUACAUUGUUCAAAUAUCUUUGGAACGUUGUAAUAUUCCACCUGAUAUGAUUGAACAUGUCAGCCAGUACAGACACAAAAUUAAGGCCACUGCCCCCACUCCACACACUCAGGAUGCAAUUGACAUCUUUCUAAUGCAAUAUCCCAAGCUCUUGCAUCAGUGAUCCUGGGGAGAUCAAACCAAUGGACUUGGACAUCAGGUAACAUCACAUCUCUGAAACAAAUGCUGGUUAGAGAAUGCGCUGAAGGUCAUCAGACCACAUUGACAAGGCACUGAGGUAAUGCACCUAUAUCUGAACCAGUUUCUGGUAGGAAAGAUAUCGAAAUAUCCAUUUAAUGCAUGGCUUAUUGAGCCAAGUAAUAAGAUCCGUGAAUAUAGACCAACUCCCAAAGACUCUUCAUGUUAUGAGUUAUCUAUCUAAUUUAUCUCUUCUAGUAGUUUGAGAAAAAUCUCAGGACUGAUUCAUUACAUUCUAAGCAUCACAAUUAAUAAGGUAUCUAAUUUAUCUCUUCUAGUAUUUUGGCUAGGGUUAUUUUGGGCUUUGUACCCAACUUAAUGAAAUAAAAAGAGGUGAAUGGAGGGUCCUAGGCCAUUCACUUGACUUUAUUUUCAAGGGGGGGAAAAAAAGAGUGAAAGCUCCAGGCUUUUGAACCCUAGCUUGGGUGUAAGGAAGAAACCAUAGGGCUUUUCUUAAUUAUUGCUUGUGUAGGGCCUAAAUUCGUGCUUUUACCAUCGUCAUCACUCACUGCUCAUUACCAUUGGCUGCUUGCUGGCUCAUUAUCACUCACUACUCAAUGAUGCUCUGGUUUUCACAAAUUCCCUACAUCAAUAUUUGACAUUUCCGAUGUGCAUAUCAGAUACAUGUGUUGGAUCCAUUCUUCUUCCGGCACAUACAAAUAGCACGUCCGCCCUGUUUCGGGUGUUUGGAAACAUAAAACCAUAAGAAAAGUCAAGAACCAAUGUACUACUGGUUUAGCUACCGUUUCAAACAAUUAAUCUAUGCCAACAAGAGGAAGCUCAAGCUCUAAAUAACACCCACAAUGCCUGUAAGUAGCCAGAUUAGAACAUGUAGUCUUUUGGAUAGCUUUUCCGGACAAGGUUAGGCCUUGUUGAAAACCAAUUUCAAUCUAAUUUAAACUUUGAACAAGUAUGUGGCAUAUUUUCCAAAAGACAAGGACAAAAUAAAUAUAGCAAGUGCCUCAAAGUUCCUCAACAAAUUAUGUGAUUCCAUAAAGCUGGUUGAAUCAAUACCCAUCUUUCCAUUCAUCUAGAUCGCAUUUUUCUUUUUGUACUUAUCCUUAAAAUGUGUACGAAUUUAGUACACAGGAUAACCUAAAAGGUUUUCCUAGAGUACAAAUACUAUGUCAAGAACCAUGAUCAUGGGCUUUUGCUUGAAACUAGAGCUCCAUUUAGUUUGUGUUCACUUUUUCGUGAGAAGCAAGCUCCAAGAGAUUGGAACCAUAAGUUCAAGUCUUCAUGACAUUUCAAAGAACAGAUAUGAUAAGCACAUAUGAACAUAGAGUUCUACCAUCCUAGCAAAUCCAUCAUUUUUAUUGACAUUUUUAUGAUAGUGACACAAUUUUACAGGAAGUUAAAAUAACAUUAGAAAAUGUAUCAAUGUGCAUCCGCCAAUAAGGCUCAAGCAUUGCAGGUUAAGUUACUGCACCAAAUUUAGUGACAAACGCAUCAUACCAAAUGUACUACGAAAAGUGCUAGGGAAAACUAAUCAAAAAGAGCCAAUUCUCAGAUGCUCACAAAAACAAUACAGACCGAGAGCAGUUGAGCUCACUUCUUUCUCACAAAAAACAUGGAUCACAAUACAGACCAAGCACGGUCAUGAAACAACUCCUAUAACACACAUUUUGGUAAGAACAAGAAACUUCCAGCGUGAAUAAGCAUCACCACUGUAAGAAAAUUAUUCCCAAAAGUAAACGCAAGACAAAAAGAACAUCUAGAGGCCUGACUAUUACCCCAAUGCACAAUUCCAGUUUCAGACAAGAAAACCAACCAAAAAAAACAGUCAUAAAAAAAAUAAAAAUAAAAAAAAUAAAAAAAAACAUAGAGAAAAAGGGUAGAAAUCAAAUGUACAUUAUUGGAACAAAUGGGUUAGCCACACAAAACUCCCGCUUAGCUAGCAGAAAAAAUACAUACAUUUUUUGACAAUCCCAAGUCCCCUUUGGUCACCAUUCAACACUCCAAUCGGCUAAAAAAAUAAAGAACUAUGGUUUAAAUCAAAUGGCACAAACACAAACUGAUUAACAUUGCACGACUAAAACACCCAGCCGAAAAGCACCGCUUUUGAAGCAUUCAGGCUUCCGAGGGAUGAUUAAACAAACAAUAGCAAAAUGGAAACCAUAAUCCAAGCAGGAAAGUACAAACUUCUCGCUUUUAGGAGAUUCCAAUUAAGUGAGAACCAGACAAUUGUACGUUUCCCAUUUCAGCCACAACUCAGGGCACAGUUCAAAGAAAUUUUUUCAAAGCUGAACUUACUCGAUUCCGACCACUGUCCUCCUCUCUAUCAGAAAUCGAAUUCACCACUGAAGCCCCAGCCAAGCGCACAGUAGAAGCAACACUUGAUGCACCGGAUGAAACUAUUCUCAGGUAGGUGGAAAUUGCCCUAAAAGAAGUUGGAAAAAAACCAUUACUUCUCCCUUGAGCCUUGUUCUCAUCGUUCCUCAUCAUCCCCCCCCCCUCAGAAAACCCUGAUUCCCAAAUCAUAUACUCUCAGUCUGCUUCUUUAUAGACACUGGAACAGCCUUAAUUUCCCAAUUUUGUCAUGGCAAUCCCCCAUUUAUACCAAAAAGUGUAGAAGUAACAAAUUAUUGUUUCAAAAAAUAGAUAUAAUAUUUACAGAGAAAUCAAAAAGCCUCCAAAAGAGAUGAAUGAUCGCUUCGUGGGUGAAGAAAAGAACCCAACAAAAAAAUUUUCAAAUUAAAUUAGAAAGCUAUACAGAAUAACAGCCUAUUUACCAAAAUGAAAGCUUAUAAAGAGGGUCAAAUCACAAAUAUGUACAGUUGGUUUCAAAGAUCAAUCAAAUUUUGAAAGGAUCUCAAUCAAACGGAGAGAAAGAAACCCCAAAAAUCACAUUUUUAAAAAAAAAAUACUGAUUUUCUCCUUUGCUUAGGAUGGGUGCAUCAGCGAUGAAAAAACAGAUGAUCCUUAUAUAAAGUCAGAUGAUAAUAGGACCGUUAGCUAAUAUCUAGCAACAAACAAAGCUGUUCAUAUUCAAAAUCAAGUAGAGAAAGAAACCCUAGAUAACGCCAUAAAAUAUGCGAGUUUCUAUGAUCUUUUUACCAAAUAAAAUUGAGAGGGAGAGAGAGUUUUAGAAGAAAAAAUGGAAGGGGGAACGUUCAUAAUUGGGGGGGGGUGCCGCUCGAUUUGCUGAGAACGAGGGACUUUGUUUUAGGGAAACGUACAAAAAAUAAGUAUUAAACUUUUAAUUCGGACUUUUUUGUAUUUUAAACCGCUUUAAAUUCCCUCGCCUUCUUGACGUCAAGAACCUUCACGGGCGGUAGAAACGGGAAGAAGCUGAAAAUGAUAGAAAAAUAAAAUGAAAAAAAAAAGCAAACUUAAACUUUGAUAAAUGUGCACUUCAAAAACUCAUCGGAGGAGAUUCUUUUGAUGUUAGAAAAUUUGGAAUGAAAUCAAAUAAAAUCUGAGUCCUAAAAACAUU